rnacentral:rRNA from 1 species
UUCGCAAUGCCCGAAAGGGUGACGAUGCGACGCCGCGUGAGCGAAGAAGGCCCUAGGGUUGUAAAGCUCUGUCGAGGGUUAUGAAAUAUAGAUGGGUUAAUACCCCAUUUAUUUAACAAAAGCCCAAAAGGAAGCCACGGCUAACUCUGUGCCAGCAGCCGCGGUAAUACAGAGGUGGCGAGCGUUGUUCGGUAUUAUUGGGCGUAAAGAGCACGUAGGUGGUUUUGUAAGUCAGGUGUGAAAGCCUUCUGUUCAAAGGAAGAACGGCAUCUGAAACUGCAGAUCUUGAGUGUAGGAGGGGAGAGUGGAACUUCUGGUGGAGCGGUGAAAUGCGUAGAUAUCAGAAGGAACGUCGGCGGCGAAAGCGACUCUCUGGCCUAUUACUGACACUGAGGUGCGAAAGUUAGGGGAGCAAACGGGAUUAGAUACCCCGGUAGUCCUAACCGUAAACGAUGGGCACUAAGUAGAGGGGUUUU